ACGGAAGGCAGCAGUGGGGAAUAUUGGACAAUGGGGGAAACCCUGAUCCAGCGACGCCGCGUGAGUGAAGAAGUAUUUCGGUAUGUAAAGCUCUAUCAGCAGGGAAGAUAAUGACGGUACCUGACUAAGAAGCUCCGGCUAAAUACGUGCCAGCAGCCGCGGUAAUACGUAUGGAGCAAGCGUUAUCCGGAUUUACUGGGUGUAAAGGGAGCGUAGACGGCAUAGCAAGUCUGAUGUGAAAUCCCCGGGCUCAACCCGGGAACUGCAUUGGAAACUGUUAAGCUAGAGUGCAGGAGAGGUAAGUGGAAUUCCUAGUGUAGCGGUGAAAUGCGUAGAUAUUAGGAGGAACAUCAGUGGCGAAGGCGGCUUGCUGGACUGUAACUGACGCUGAGGCUCGAAAGCGUGGGGAGCAAACAGGAUUAGAUACCCUGGUA
rnacentral:rRNA from 1 species